GGUUAAGCGACUAAGCGUACACGGUGGAUGCCCUGGCAGUCAGAGGCGAUGAAGGACGUGCUAAUCUGCGAAAAGCGUCGGUAAGGUGAUAUGAACCGUUAUAACCGGCGAUGUCCGAAUGGGGAAACCCAGUGUGAUUCGUCACACUAUCGUUAACUGAAUACAUAGGUUAACGAGGCGAACCGGGGGAACUGAAACAUCUAAGUACCCCGAGGAAAAGAAAUCAACCGAGAUUCCCCCAGUAGCGGCGAGCGAACGGGGAGCAGCCCAGAGUCUGAAUCAGCUUGUGUGUUAGUGGAACGGUCUGGAAAGUCCGACGGUACAGGGUGAUAGUCCCGUACACCAAAAUGCACAGGCUGUGAACUCGAAGAGUAGGGCGGGACACGUGGUAUCCUGUCUGAAUAUGGGGGGACCAUCCUCCAAGGCUAAAUACUCCUGACUGACCGAUAGUGAACCAGUACCGUGAGGGAAAGGCGAAAAGAACCCCGGCGAGGGGAGUGAAAAAGAACCUGAAACCGUGUACGUACAAGCAGUGGGAGCACCUUCGGGUGUGACUGCGUACCUUUUGUAUAAUGGGUCAGCGACUUAUAUUCUGUAGCAAGGUUAACCGUAUAGGGGAGCCGCAGGGAAACCGAGUCUUAACUGGGCGUUAAGUUGCAGGGUAUAGACCCGAAACCCGGUGAUCUAGCCAUGGGCAGGUUGAAGGUUGGGUAACACUAACUGGAGGACCGAACCGACUAAUGUUGAAAAAUUAGCGGAUGACUUGUGGCUGGGGGUGAAAGGCCAAUCAAACCGGGAGAUAGCUGGUUCUCCCCGAAAGCUAUUUAGGUAGCGCCUCGUGAAUUCAUCUUCGGGGGUAGAGCACUGUUUCGGCUAGGGGGUCAUCCCGACUUACCAACCCGAUGCAAACUACGAAUACCGAAGAAUGUUAUCACGGGAGACACACGGCGGGUGCUAACGUCCGUCGUGAAGAGGGAAACAACCCAGACCGCCAGCUAAGGUCCCAAAGUCAUGGUUAAGUGGGAAACGAUGUGGGAAGGCACAGACAGCCAGGAUGUUGGCUUAGAAGCAGCCAUCAUUUAAAGAAAGCGUAAUAGCUCACUGGUCGAGUCGGCCUGCGCGGAAGAUGUAACGGGGCUAAACCAUGCACCGAAGCUGCGGCAGCGACACUAUGUGUUGUUGGGUAGGGGAGCGUUCUGUAAGCCUGCGAAGGUGACCUGUGAGGGUUGCUGGAGGUAUCAGAAGUGCGAAUGCUGACAUAAGUAACGAUAAAGCGGGUGAAAAGCCCGCUCGCCGGAAGACCAAGGGUUCCUGUCCAACGUUAAUCGGGGCAGGGUGAGUCGACCCCUAAGGCGAGGCCGAAAGGCGUAGUCGAUGGGAAACAGGUUAAUAUUCCUGUACUUGGUGUUACUGCGAAGGGGGGACGGAGAAGGCUAUGUUAGCCGGGCGACGGUUGUCCCGGUUUAAGCAUGUAGGCUGGUUGUCCAGGCAAAUCCGGAUAAUCAAGGCUGAGGUGUGAUGACGAGGCACUACGGUGCUGAAGUAACAAAUGCCCUGCUUCCAGGAAAAGCCUCUAAGCAUCAGGUAACAUCAAAUCGUACCCCAAACCGACACAGGUGGUCAGGUAGAGAAUACCAAGGCGCUUGAGAGAACUCGGGUGAAGGAACUAGGCAAAAUGGUGCCGUAACUUCGGGAGAAGGCACGCUGGUGUGUAGGUGAAGUCCCUGCGGAUGGAGCUGAGACCAGUCGAAGAUACCAGCUGGCUGCAACUGUUUAUUAAAAACACAGCACUGUGCAAACACGAAAGUGGACGUAUACGGUGUGACGCCUGCCCGGUGCCGGAAGGUUAAUUGAUGGGGUUAUCCGUAAGGAGAAGCUCUUGAUCGAAGCCCCGGUAAACGGCGGCCGUAACUAUAACGGUCCUAAGGUAGCGAAAUUCCUUGUCGGGUAAGUUCCGACCUGCACGAAUGGCGUAAUGAUGGCCAGGCUGUCUCCACCCGAGACUCAGUGAAAUUGAACUCGCUGUGAAGAUGCAGUGUACCCGCGGCAAGACGGAAAGACCCCGUGAACCUUUACUAUAGCUUGACACUGAACAUUGAGCCUUGAUGUGUAGGAUAGGUGGGAGGCUUUGAAGCGUGGACGCCAGUCUGCGUGGAGCCAACCUUGAAAUACCACCCUUUAAUGUUUGAUGUUCUAACGUUGGCCCCU
rnacentral:rRNA from 1 species